rnacentral:rRNA from 1 species
CCUACGGGAGGCAGCAGUGAGGAAUAUUGGUCAAUGGCCGGAAGGCUGAACCAGCCAUGCCGCGUGAAGGUCAGUGCCCUAUGGGCGUUAAACUUCUUUUGUGCGGGAGCAAUAAUGGUCACGUGUGGCCAGACGAGAGUACCGUACGAAUAAGCAUCGGCUAACUCCGUGCCAGCAGCCGCGGUAAUACGGGGGAUGCAAGCGUUAUCCGGAUUUAUUGGGUUUAAAGGGUGCGUAGGCUGUGAGGUAAGUCAGCGGGGAAAUGCCCCCGCGCAACGGGGUGAAGUGCCAUUGAUACUGCCUUGCUGGAAUGCGGAUGCCGUGGGAGGAAUGUGUGGUGUAGCGGUGAAAUGCAUAGAUAUCACACAGAACACCGAUUGCGAAGGCAUCUCACGAAUCCGCGAUUGACGCUGAUGCACGAAAGCGUGGGUAUCAAACAGGAUUAGAUACCCUAGUAGUC